rnacentral:rRNA from 1 species
AACGAAGUGAAUUGAAAUAUCUUAGUAGCUUCAGGAAAAGAAAUCAAACGAGAUUCUAUGAUUAGUGUGAAUGAAAGUAGAGUAGCCUAUAAAAAUAUCAGAAUAUAUAUGUGAUGUAUAUAUAGUAAUCUUUUUUAAACAUAAAGUAGUAUUAGAAUAAAUUAUUUGGUUUUAAACCAAACAAAUCUUAGAUUGAUUUUUAUUAUAAUAUUACUAGUAUUAUCAUUACUUGGAUUAUAUACAUAAAGAAAAGAUAAGAAAUUAGGGGUUCAAAAAAUCCCUAGUAACAAAAAUCUUUGGGUUCAGAAAACCCAUAAAAUCGAUAUAUAUAAAAUAAAAUUAUCCACUGAUAUAUUAAAAAAGUAAAACGGGCAAAACCUGUUUGAAUAUAUAGGGGAACCUUCCUCUAAGGCUAAAUAUGAUAUAUGAGCGACAGCGUAUAGUUGUUUGAGAGAAAGGUUUGAAAUAGUAGUCUUAUAAGCAGCUCGAGUGAAAUUUUAUAAAUAAUUAGAGCGUACCUUUUGCAUAAUGGGUCAGCAAGUUAAUAUUAGAUGCGAGCAUGUGUAAAAUGUGCCCAGAUAAACCAAUUAUGAAAUAAUGAAUUAGUAUCUAAAAUUAGACCCGAAGCCUGGUGAUCUUACUACAGUCAGGGUUAUAAAAGCCCGAACGGUUUAUCGUUGUAAAGAUAUCCGAAGAACUGUGGUAAGUUAGUGAAAGACAAAACUGACUAGGAUAGCUGGUUUUCUGCGAAACCUAUAUAAGUAGGUAAUUCAAGUUACAUCAUAGCAGGUACAGAACUGUGAUCUCAGGCAACUUAUAUCUUCUUAUUUUACAUCUCCAAAAUAAAAGGUAAUUUUGCAUAUAUCGGGCAAUCGUGAAGAUUUUAUCGGUGAGUAUUCGCACUCGGAAGGGCAAUGAUGAAUCUUGAAUAAUCGGACAUAGUACGAUAAGGUUGUAUGUCUAAAGGGAAACAGCCCAGAACAAGAGUUAAGGUUCCAAAAUUAUUGUUAAGUGAAAUUAAGGAAGUUUCUAUCUAAUACGACUAGGAAAUAGGCUUAGAAGCGGUCCAUUUUUUGAAGAUCUCGUAACAGAGCACUGGUUUAGUAAUUUAUUUUACAUUGAUAGUUGCACCGAAGAUUUAACGGAUCUAAACAAUAUACCGACACCUUGUCCAUAUUUAUUAAUAAUUUUUAGUUAUUAUAUUUUAUGGGGUAGCAGAACGUUGGGUAAAUCUAAGACUUAUUCUUUUUAAGAAUAAAUAUAUGAUAACCCGAGUGAGAAUGCUGACAUGAGUAACGAAAAAGGGAUAUACCCUCGCCUAAAGCUUAUGGUUUUUGUAAAGUAACGGCCUCUAAGUUUACCAACCUAAAGGAUUAAACGAUGAGCAAAUCUUUGUUAUAAAGUAACAACCUUCUCUUAAAAAUCAAAUAACUAAAGUGGAGAAGGUUCUGGAAAAACAAUAACGGUCGAACCGAAUUAUUUCAAUAAACUAAAAAGAUGAGUAAUAAUUAAUUCUAUUAAAAAAAAAAACAAACAAGCACAAAUUAUAAAAAUUUAUAAAAGCACAAAUAAUAGAUAGACUAGACAAACCGUACCUAAAGACUAACCCAAGUAAGCUAGUAGAGAAUACGAAGGCGUUUGAGCUAACAAUCAUUAAGGAACUCGGCAAACUAACUACCGUAACUUCGGGAUAAGGAGAGCCAUUCCUCCUGACUAAUAUCAGGUAAAGAAUAGGAAGCAUGGAAUAGUGUUGUACGACUGUUUAAUUAAAACAAAGCACUCUGCAGUAAGAUAAUAAAUCAAAGUAUUGAGUGUGAAUUCUGCCCGAUGUCGGCUGGUUAACGGAUUUGCUAAGUUGACUAAUAUAAAUUUGGCUUUGAAGGAAACCCCGAUCAAUGGCGGCCUUAACUAUAAGGGUCCUAAGGUAGCGGAAUACCUUGGCCGUUAAAUGCGGUCUUGCAUGAAUGAUUUAACGAUACAACAGCUGUCUCAAUGAUUGGCUCAGUGAAAUUGGAAUAACUGUGCAGAUACAGUUUACCUCUAGUUAGACGAGAAGACCCUAUGCAGCUUUACUGUUGCUAGUUAUUGAAUAUGAUAUUGCAAGUUUUAGAGUAUAAGGUAGCGUAAGCAAGGUUGAAACACCUUUACUUAGUAUAUCAUAUUGGUAGACAAAAUCUACGUGAAAGUAUAAACUGUUUUUUAAUAUAGACAUAUUAAUUAAUAGUUGGAUACAAUCAUUAACCUUUUUCUUAUGAAAGAGGGACAAUUGCUAGGAGGCAGUUUAUGCGGGGCACAGAUCCCAUAAAAAGUACCUGGGUGUAUCCAAAGUUAAUUUUGUAAAAUUGUGAUAAAACAAUUAUCACAAUUAAAUAUACUUCAUAUAAAAUAUUUAUAUAUUUUUUUUAGGUGUAUUUUUUAUAUUUUUAGUAUGUUAUUUGCUAUAGCCUUUGUGCUGGAUAUUUUAAUAUCUAUCAUAUGAAGAGCUGUGGUUAAUCCAGCUAUAUAUCUAUUGAGUUAGAACUAAUAUUUUUUUAUUCAAGUAAGAUUUUAACUAUAUGGAAAAUAGAUGUAAUUUAAAUAUUAUAAAAUAAUAUAUUCUAGUUUAAAAUUAGGCUAUAUUAUUUUAUAAUGUUUAUAGUUAUAUUAUUAGUACUUUAAUUAUAAUAUUAAAGUAAUGUUAGAAUACACUAAUCAUAUAAUUAUGUUAAUUACUUGUCAAGUUUAAUGGCUUAAUCUUGCUUUACUGUUUGACUUACACGUCUAUCAGUCGCGUAAGCGGGGCAUAUGAUCACAAGAUGCAGAAAGGAAAGGUCUUGGAUUUUUGAAAAAGCUACGCUAGGGAUAACAGGCUAAUUGCGCCAGAGAGUACAAAUUGAGUGCGCAGUUUGGCACCUCGAUGUCGGCUUAACUUAUCCACAUGAAUGCAGGAAUCAUGAAGGGUUCGACUGUUCGUCGAUUAAUAAGUUACACGAGCUGGGUUAAAUACGUCGUGAGACAGUAUGGUUUCUAUCUUCUAGAGGGAAUUAGAAUAAAAUAAGGAUAUCCCCCUCGUACGAAAGGAGCUGGGUAUAUUAACCUCUGGUUUACCUGUUGUUUAUGUGCCCAAUAUUAAUAUAUGAUAAUAAUAUGUUUUUAUUACUAUUAGAAAUAAUAAUAAUAAAAAACAGGGAUGUUACUUUCACUUAAGUAAAUUUAUAGCAUAGGCACGGCAGGAACGCUAUGUUAGUUAAAAAUAAGUGCUGAAUGCAUCUAGGCACGAAACUUACUUUAAGAUAUUCUUAAAUAUACGUAGUAGAACACUACGAUU